AGUGAACGCUGGCGGCAGGCCUAACACAUGCAAGUCGAACGGCAGCACAAGAGAGCUUGCUCUCUGGGUGGCGAGUGGCGGACGGGUGAGGAAUGCAUCGGAAUCUGCCCAUUUGUGGGGGAUAACCUCGGGAAACCGGAACUAAUACCGCAUACGACCUACGGGUGAAAGCAGGGGAUCUUCGGACCUUGCGCAGAUGGAUGAGCCGAUGCCGGAUUAGCUAGUUGGAGGGGUAAAGGCCCACCAAGGCGACGAUCCGUAGCUGGUCUGAGAGGAUGAUCAGCCACACUGGGACUGAGACACGGCCCAGACUCCUACGGGAGGCAGCAGUGGGGAAUAUUGGACAAUGGGCGCAAGCCUGAUCCAGCCAUGCCGCGUGUGUGAAGAAGGCCUUCGGGUUGUAAAGCACUUUUGUUGGGAAAGAAAAGCAGCCGGUUAAUACCCGGUUGUCAUGACGGUACCCAGAGAAUAAGCACCGGCUAACUUCGUG
rnacentral:rRNA from 1 species